rnacentral:rRNA from 1 species
ACACCGGCAGCUCAAGUGGUGGCCAUUUUUAUUUGGGCCUAAAGCGUUCGUAGCCGGCUUGAUAAGUCUCUGGUGAAAUCCCAUAGCUUAACUGUGGGAAUUGCUGGAGAUACUAUUAGGCUUGAGGCCGGGAGAGGUUAGGGGUACUCCCAGGGUAGGGGUGAAAUCCUAUAAUCCUGGGAGGACCACCUGUGGCGAAGGCGCCUAACUGGAACGGACCUGACGGUGAGUAACGAAAGCCAGGGGCGGC